rnacentral:rRNA from 1 species
UACGUAGGGGGCGAGCGUUGUCCGGAGGUACUGGGCGUAAAGGGCAUGCAGGCGGUCAGGCGCGUUUUGUGUGACAGCGGAUGGCUUAACUAUCCGAGGAUACGAGAUACGGCGUGACUUGAGAGCGCGAGAGGGACACGGAAUUCCGGGUGGAGUGGUGAAAUGCGUAGAGAUCGGCAGGAACACCCAGGGGGAAACCAGUCGACUGGGCAUCUACUGACGCUGAGGAGCGAAAGCGUGGGGAGCGAACAGG